GGAGGGAGCUAGCGUUGUUCGGAAUUACUGGGCGUAAAGCGCACGUAGGCGGCUUUGUAAGUCAGAGGUGAAAGCCUGGAGCUCAACUCCAGAACUGCCUUUGAGACUGCAUCGCUUGAAUCCAGGAGGGGUGAGUGGAAUUCCGAGUGUAGAGGUGAAAUUCGUAGAUAUUCGGAAGAACACCAGUGGCGAAGGCGGCUCACUGGACUGGUAUUGACGCUGAGGUGCGAAAGCGUGGGGGGAGCGAACAGGAUUAGAUACCCUGGUAGUCCACGCCCGUAAACGAUGAUAACUAGCUGUCCGGGCACUUGGUGCUUGGGUGGCGCAGCUAACGCAUUAAGUUAUCCGCCUGGGGAGUACGGUCGCAAGAUUA
rnacentral:rRNA from 1 species